rnacentral:rRNA from 1 species
GAAUAAGCACCGGCUAACUACGUGCCAGCAGCCGCGGUAAUACGUAGGGUGCGAGCGUUAAUCGGAAUUACUGGGCGUAAAGCGUGCGCAGGCGGUUUGCUAAGACCGAUGUGAAAUCCCCGGGCUCAACCUGGGAACUGCAUUGGUGACUGGCAGGCUAGAGUAUGGCAGAGGGGGGUAGAAUUCCACGUGUAGCAGUGAAAUGCGUAGAGAUGUGGAGGAAUACCGAUGGCGAAGGCAGCCCCCUGGGCCAAUACUGACGCUCAUGCACGAAAGCGUGGGGAGCAAACAGGAUUAGAUACCCUGGUAGUCCACGCCCUAAACGAUGUCAACUAGUUGUUGGGGAUUCAUUUCCUUAGUAACGUAGCUAACGCGUGAAGUUGACCGCCUGGGGAGUACGGUCGCAAGAUUAAAACUCAAAGGAAUUGACGGGGACCCGCACAAGCGGUGGAUGAUGUGGAUUAAUUCGAUGCAACGCGAAAAACCUUACCUACCCUUGACAU